UGCUUAGAUCUUUAAACAGAAAAGAUAAAUGCAAAUAAAUGACUAUUUGUAAUGUGUAGCUAAAGAAUUUGACUGAAUGUGGUGGUGGUUGGUGGUUUUGUUUACAUUUCGAUUGAACCAUUUUUGUGGACAUAAAUUAUGUUGAAAAUUUAGUUAUAAGCUGACCUGUGUAUACAUAUGUAUGUACAUCCAAAGUUGCAUUUAUUUAAAGUGAUUUACCAGGCAACAAGAAAGAACUUUGUAAUCGCGAAUGUUUGGGUGUCUUCAUCACUGCAAUAAAGUUAUUGUCAAAGGCGAUAUGCCAAGUGGGGAAGAGGCUUUGUCGAGUGAACACAACAUGUGAAAUAUCUUAAUUUAAAGCGUCAGAAAAGGAUUUAAAAAUUUACAAAGACGUUUUAGCAAAGUAAUUUGAAUUUUAUGAGGUAGACGUUUAGAAGUAACUCAAUCCUUGGUUAAAAGCAGGAUUUGUGUUGCAAGGAAUUGCACCCAUGCUGGUUGAGUGCAUAAAUAUGCCACUCUGUGUAACUUUUGUUUUUUAAGGCAUGGUUGCACAUUUUUACGUCUCGAAACUCUCGUCAUUCAAGCAGAAUGAAAAAGGGAAAUUAGCUGAAAGGGACGUCACAUGAGCAAAAGCCAAAUAGUACUAAGAAUAAGGUCUUCAUCAGGCUGCUGCUUUCCCACAUCGUGUAAAUGCUUGAGUUAAAUGAAAUGAAUUUCUAGUUGUGCCAUCUGGAUUGAUUGAAAGAAACUAAAACGGUUUGCCAAAGAUUUAGUGGGUGAAAAAAUUAACACUGAACCAAGCUAUUUUUGGGGAACUGUUUAGAGGCCUGCUCUACUCACCUCCACGUAUUUUUCACAAACAUUUAAGUAAAUUUGUACUAUUUACAAAACACCACGGCGAGACUUGUUGCGGCAACCAAGAAAACUAGAAAAUACUCUUUAAAAAAAGUGAUUUAAGCAACAAACAAAUGAUUGCGAAGGCAUGGAAGAGCAUAGCGUAUGAGAAGUGAAUCCAAAUCACCUGUUGGCUAUUCCCAAGAUGAUUGCACAAAUGACUGAAUUUUUUAAUUAAAUCUGAAUGCCUAUUUUAUUAUUGUUGUAUUGCAGGCAGUUACAAAAUCUAAUAUCAGCUGAAAUGCAAAAAGCGUUAAAACUA
rnacentral:sRNA from 1 species